UAGUGGCGAACGGGUGAGUAACACGUGGGCAAUCUGCCCUUCACUCUGGGACAAGCCCUGGAAACGGGGUCUAAUACCGGAUACGACACGGGGUCGCAUGACCUCCGUGUGGAAAGCUCCGGCGGUGAAGGAUGAGCCCGCGGCCUAUCAGCUUGUUGGUGGGGUGAUGGCCUACCAAGGCGACGACGGGUAGCCGGCCUGAGAGGGCGACCGGCCACACUGGGACUGAGACACGGCCCAGACUCCUACGGGAGGCAGCAGUGGGGAAUAUUGCACAAUGGGCGAAAGCCUGAUGCAGCGACGCCGCGUGAGGGAUGACGGCCUUCGGGUUGUAAACCUCUUUCAGCAGGGAAGAAGCGAGAGUGACGGUACCUGCAGAAGAAGCGCCGGCUAACUACGUGCCAGCAGCCGCGGUAAUACGUAGGGCGCAAGCGUUGUCCGGAAUUAUUGGGCGUAAAGAGCUCGUAGGCGGCUUGUCGCGUCGGAUGUGAAAGCCCGGGGCU
rnacentral:rRNA from 1 species